rnacentral:rRNA from 1 species
GGUCAUAGUGAUCCGGUGGUUCUGAAUGGAAGGGCCAUCGCUCAACGGAUAAAAGGUACUCCGGGGAUAACAGGCUGAUACCGCCCAAGAGUUCAUAUCGACGGCGGUGUUUGGCACCUCGAUGUCGGCUCAUCACAUCCUGGGGCUGAAGUAGGUCCCAAGGGUAUGGCUGUUCGCCAUUUAAAGUGGUACGCGAGCUGGGUUUAGAACGUCGUGAGACAGUUCGGUCCCUAUCUGCCGUGGGCGCUGGAGAACUGAGGGGGGCUGCUCCUAGUACGAGAGGACCGGAGUGGACGCAUCACUGGUGUUCGGGUUGUCAUGCCAAUGGCACUGCCCGGUAGCUAAAUGCGGAAGAGAUAAGUGCUGAAAGCAUCUAAGCACGAAACUUGCC